AGUGCUGAGGGAUUCCAGGAGCUCUGCCACAAGGGGACAACUCCAAGUGGGUGUCAAGCCGGGGGCUCCACAGGAACGCGAAGCUUCCCUGGCCUUCCCAUAUCUGCGGUCUGCUGUCAGAACCCCAAACCUGGCAGCAACAGGGGACAGAGCCACCAAGUCUAGAGAAGAUGACUCUCUAGGGAAGAAGACUCCAUAAUGGUGGGGGAAGCUGAACAAUCGCAUCUUCAACUGCAAAUGUGGAGAGAGAAAACCGGAAGUGGAGCAACAGAUUCUACAACCUCUCCUAACAACACUCCCAACCAGAAACCAAUACCUCAGUUCAAUACCUUAGCCUACAGGAGGUAAUUCUCAGCCCAACUACCACACUGCUGAUCCUAUAAGCAGUAAGGACUGCUGAGAGACACUCCCAACCAGCUGAGCUGCCUAGGAGAGACACUUAGAAUGGAGGAGCUGCCUUCAGGUUGUGCAGUGAGCUCCAACCUUCCAGCUUCCGUGAGCUGUCACUCUUGCUGGGAUAAACUUUCAGUAUCAUAACUGCCUUUGAAUCAUCUUUGCUCUGUAGGUAACUCCUCAUCCACACUUCUGUAACCCCAAUAAAUAUAUUGAUACCCCAAA